rnacentral:rRNA from 1 species
UACGUAGGGCGCAAGCGUUAUCCGGAAUUAUUGGGCGUAAAGAGCUCGUAGGCGGUUUGUCGCGUCUGCUGUGAAAACUGGAGGCUCAACCUCCAGCCUGCAGUGGGUACGGGCAGACUAGAGUGCGGUAGGGGAGAUUGGAAUUCCUGGUGUAGCGGUGGAAUGCGCAGAUAUCAGGAGGAACACCGAUGGCGAAGGCAGAUCUCUGGGCCGUAACUGACGCUGAGGAGCGAAAAGCAUGGGGAGCGAACAGG